CUUGAUUACUUUUUCCAUGUACAGGCAAGCCUUGGAGAUACUGCAGGCUUGGUUCCAGACCACUGCACUAAAGUGAAUAUCACAAUAAAGCAAGUCACACAAAUAUUUUUGUUUCCUGGUACAUAG